AGGGUUUUGGUCACCUUCGCGAUCAUCGUGAUAAACUUCUUCAGUGGGACCGCAGAUUAGGUUCAUCAUUUCCUCUUCAUGUUCUCUCGGAUCGGCCAUUUCUACAGAAAUAUGUGACACAUCACUACUAGCACUACUGUGUAUACUUGACAAGGAAACAAUAUAUAAAACUAGGGUUUAGGGUUUAGGGCUUAGGGCUUAGAACAUCACUAAAUACAUCACAGAACACUAUAGAACAUCACUAAAUACAUCAAAUAUAUUACGUGAAAAAAACUAAAUACACCAUAGAACAUCACUAAUUACAUUAAAGAACAUUGUAUAUAUAAUACGUGAAAAUAAAUAAGAAAUUGGUACUAUAAUAUACAUGAAAAUAAAUAAAUAUAUAUGAAUUUGAGCAGAGGCAAUAUUCUACAUUCAUAAGAAAUUGGUGACACAUGACUACUAGCACUACUGUGUAUACCUGACAAGGAAACAAUAUAUAAAACUAGGGUUUACAACUUAGGAUUUUCUGCAACAGUUUACGGCUAAGGGUUUGGGGUUUACGGCUUAGGUUUCAAGGUUUAGGGUUUAUGGCUUAGGGUUUACAUCAUUUGGUGACAAAAGUGGCAUGAUCUGAACCGGUCACAAAUAAGUUUAGGGUUUAGUGUAUAUCAUUUGCUAAUAAUUAAAUAUAUCAUAAUUAUACCACUAAUUUAUACCACUAAUUGUAUCACUAAUUAUAGCACUAAUUGUACCACUAAUAGAUCCAUCUCGACAUACCUGUAGUUUGAAGGCGGUGAGAUGGCGGAGAGAAGGCGGUCGGUGCGGAGACUUGACGGGGACUUCGGUGACGACGACAGAGAGACUUCGAUCUGGAAGAAGGAAGAAAGAGGAAACAAAUAUUAUAUCACAUUUACAUAUGUAUGUGUGUGUGAGAGAGAGAUAGACGGCAGAGAGACAUCGAUCCGAUGUGUGUGCGCGCGCGCGCAUGCGCGCAUCGGCCCUGGAUGAUCAAGUGUGUGUACAUGUGUGUGUGUAUGUGUGUGUGUUCCGCGGCGGUGCUCCACGAUGGCGACGACAACAGCGCUGCAAAGGUUACAACGGCGAGUACUAGGGUUCUUUCUGUGUCUUAUUUUUGGGUGAGGAACUAAACAGGGCCUAAUAUACAUACAUUAUGAAUUUUUUCUUUCUCUGUUUUUUCAUAUGUUUUUUCAUUUUUUUUCUUUCUCCAGGGCCUUGUUUAGUUACCAAAAAAUUUUGCAAAAUAUUCCAGAUUCUCCGUCACAUCGAAUCUUUAGACGCAUGCAUGAAGUAUUAAAUAUAGACGAAAAUAAAAACUAAUUACAUAGUUUGGUCGGAAUUGACGACACGAAUCUUUUGAGCCUAGUUAGUCCAUGAUUAGACAAUAUUUGUCAAAUACCAACGAAAAUGCUACAGUGUCGAUUUUUCAAAAAAAUUUGGAACAAAACAAGGCCGGUGGCCGCCGGCAACGGGGCCGGCCGCGCCACCACGCGCCGUUUGCAGGC
rnacentral:lncRNA from 1 species